UGGGGAAUUUUGGACAAUGGGGGAAACCCUGAUCCAGCCAUCCCGCGUGUGCGAUGAAGGCCUUCGGGUUGUAAAGCACUUUUGGCAGGAAAGAAACGUCGCGGGUUAAUACCCCGCGAAACUGACGGUACCUGCAGAAUAAGCACCGGCUAACUACGUGCCAGCAGCCGCGGUAAUACGUAGGGUGCAAGCGUUAAUCGGAAUUACUGGGCGUAAAGCGUGCGCAGGCGGUUCGGAAACGAAAGAUGUGAAAUCCCAGAGCUUAACUUUGGGAACUGCAUUUUUGAACUACCGGGCUAGAGUGUGUCAGAGGGAGGUGGAAUUCCGCGUGUAGCAGUGAAAUGCGUAGAUAUGCGGAGGAACACCGAUGGCGAAGGCAGCCUCCUGGGAUAACACUGACGCUCAUGCAC
rnacentral:rRNA from 1 species